AAUUUUAUUUUAUUUGUAUUUAAUACAUAGUAAUUAUUAAUGUUUCAUUUAUAAAUGGUGGUUGAGUGAUUUGAAAGGAAAAAUUUAUUAGUUCACACACCCAUUUGUUUUAAAUAGAGCACUUCUCCUUCAUUUCUAAACGCACAACCUCCUUUGUUUGUAUCUAAAAUUUACUUUCUUUGAGGUCGAGGUCAUAACAUUCUCCCAUAUUUUUGAGUGGUUUGUCUUAGCCUUGCCUUGCAUAGACACACACCAUUACGGUUUUGUAAAGCUCUUUCAUCCCUUCCGCAACAUUCUUACCUUCUGGUGAGUGUUCAGCAGCAUUCUUCCCUUCCGGGUUUUAGAAAAAUCAUUCUUCAGCAGACAUUCAAGGUUCUGGCAACUUCAUUGCAAAACUAUGUUUUGAAGCAUUCUACAGUUCUGGAGGAAAUAAGAAAUGAAGAACAAAUGGAAUACCAAGCACUACAAACAAUUUAUCCAGAAGAUGAUGAAGAAGACUUAAGAAGACCGACAGGUAUACGGAUUAUCGUGUUCCAUGAUCAAAAGUUUAUGAAAACGGAUGUGGUUUUUGAAACUCCAAAUGCCAAAAUGCCAAAAAAGAACAAACGAAAAAAAAUAAUGAAGGAGGAACAUCGUAUGAUGUAUCACUAAACUUCACAUCGGAGUGAUGAUGAGGACAAUGUACCAAUAGUGUAAAGGAAAUGGUUUGAAAGUGUGUUCAAUGGGAAAGGGAAGGAAACACAAACUGAAAAUAAGCAUAUAUAUGAAAUGUAGGUAUGUAAAUAACUAUCGUUAGAUUACUAUAAGGUUUUUAUUCUUCAUAUGAAAUUUAGGUAUCUAAGAAGAGAAAAGUUAGAGAAAGAUGUGAAAGCAAGGGAAUAGAAUAAGAUCAAAAAAUGUGAUAAGAAAAAAGAGGUCAAAAAAAUACAAAUGUGAAGAAAUGAUCAACAAAAUCAAAUCCAGAGGUAUAUAAAAUAUAUGUAUAUAAUAUUGCAGUUGAUAAAAAUGCAUUUAGUUAUCACUAACAAAUGAUGUUACUAAUAUUGAUUAAGAAAUCGACUGAGGAUAAAAGAAGGGAAAAAAACAGCAGACGUAGAGGAAGAUUAUGAGGCUAGAGGUAGAGAUAUUGCUUAUCAACAAGCAGCGAGGAAGAGCAUAAAGAGAGAAAAUUUACCUUCUAAGAUAUUGAGAUUGCAAUUCACAACGAAAGUUGGUUCGAUAGAGCCAAAUAAGGAAAAAAAUAGAGUUGAAUGUUCAAGGAUUUGAAGUGCCAAGUUUUAAAUUGCUCUCCCGAGGACUUUAGAACAUUGUGUUAUUUGAAUCUGAUUAUGUUAUUUUGAUUUGAAUGAACAACUUUGUAAUUUAGAAUGUAGUAAUUUGAAUUAUGUUGUUUGCUUUGUAAUUUCGACUGUAGUAAUUAGGAUUAUUAUGUUAUUUGGA